rnacentral:rRNA from 1 species
UACGUAGGGUGCAAGCGUUAAUCGGAAUUACUGGGCGUAAAGCGUGCGCAGGCGGUUUUGUAAGACAGUGGUGAAAUCCCCGGGCUCAACCUGGGAACUGCCAUUGUGACUGCAAGGCUGGAGUGCGGCAGAGGGGGAUGGAAUUCCGCGUGUAGCAGUGAAAUGCGUAGAUAUGCGGAGGAACACCGAUGGCGAAGGCAAUCCCCUGGGCCUGCACUGACGCUCAUGCACGAAAGCGUGGGGAGCAAACAGGAUUAGAUACCCUGGUAGUCCACGCCCUAAACUAUGUCAACUGGUUGUUGGGGAUUUAUUUCUUCAGUAACGAAGCUAACGCGUGAAGUUGACCGCCUGGGGAGUACGGCCGCAAGGUUAAA